CCAACCCAAGGGCCGGGGGGGGGGGGGGGGGGGCUGCGCUCGGGUUUCACUCGGGUGGAAAGUGGGCACCGACACCAGAAACGCUGCACGGAUCUCACGCCGACUCCAGGUUUCAUGAUAUUUAAAUAUUUAUUUAAAUUUAAAAAUACUUCUCAUGGCACCGAUGAUUUUAUGCUAACUAAGAUAUUGAAUAUGUAGAAAAAGGUACAUUUUGAAGGAAAAAUGUAACUUACAGUAUUUGGCACAUGGAAGGUUAAUUUCUAGAUUUUUUUUUUUUAUGAAAACUAAGAAAUUCACAUUUUCAGGUAUUUUACCAUCUACUGCUUAAAGAUGCAGUACACUAUUAUGAGAUUUGUUUUUUUUUUUUUUUUCCUCUGGCAUAAGAACCUAUGGAAACGACAUUUUAAUAUAAAGCCAGGUAAAACUAACAGGGAGUGAAACACGAGACGGACUGUGGAACGUACAGGGAAAACGCGCGAUGAAAAGUCGCCAGUUCGGGCGGUUCUGCAGCCACAGGGCGGGUGGGAGCUGUCGCGGGGAAGCCGCGGCGGGGGCCGGGGGGGAGCGGGGCGCUGCUGUCGCGACAUCAGGCAGCACGGCCGCGGGACGGACACACGGACGCACGCGGACACACACGGACGCGCGCGCUCACUCGGCGUCUCCAACCCGGGGCGAAAAACGGCAGGUUCGGGACUACCACGCGCUGCAUAGAGACACCACUGACUGCGGGCUGAGGUACAACUUUUGGAGGCUAAAGGUCUUCCUAAAUAAAUCCGACACGGUCACUACUGGCUCCGCGCCCGGGCUUGGCCGGCGUGCUCGCGCCUGCCCGUGCUCUCCCCGCCCUCGGGAGCACUGACACUUCAAGGCUUCGGAAAAACAACAAAAAAAAAUGAAAAUAAAAGUGAUGAAAGGCCAAGCCUGCGGGGAGAGGGCUCCCCUUGGACCGGGGGAGGAGUGGGGUUGUCCCCCCGGCAGCGCAUCGGCGCAGAGGAGGCUCCGGCUGGCGGGGAGGGGUGUGGGGGGGUGGGUGGUUCUGCAAAGCCGUGGCAAGGGGGGGGUGGGUGGGUGGGUGGGUGUGCACAGUGGCGGAUUCAAUAACGUAACAGUACACGAGUGUUUCAAUCACUACUCAGUAGCACCAGUGCUAAAGCUCCUGCGCAGCGCAGCGUCGCGAGCCGCCCGGCCGGCGCGCGGGCAAGGACGGGCGGUAAUAAUAAAAUUAAUUCCUCCCUCUGC